rnacentral:sRNA from 1 species
GCGUAGAUAUCGGGAAGAACACCAUGGGAAAGGCGCUCUGCUGGCCAUACUGACGCUCAUGGAGGAAAGCAGGGGAGGAAAGGGAUUAAUACCCUGUAGUCUUGCCGUAAACGAUGACAUAGGUGUCGGGGGAAUCGAACCCCCGGUGUCGUAGCAACGCGUUAAGUGUUCCGCCUGGGGAGUACGCACGCAAGUGUGAAACUCAAAGGGAAUUGACGGGGGCCCGCACAAGCGGUGGAGUAUGUGGUUAAAUUCGAUGCAACGCGAAGAACCUUACCAGGGUUUGACAUCCUGCGAAUCCCUUGGAAAACUUGGGAGUGCCUUCGGGAGCGCAGAGACAGGUGGUGCAUGGCUGUCGUCAGCUCGUGUCGUGAGAUGUUGGGUUAAGUCCCGCAAACGAGCGCAACCCACGUCUUUAGUUGCCAGCAUUUAGUUGGGCACUCUAGAGAGACCGCCGGUGAUAAACCGGAGGAAGGUGUGGAUGACGUCAAGUCAUCAUGCCCCUUACAUCCUGGGCUACACACGUACUACAAUGCUACGGACAAAGGGCAGCAAACUCGCGAGAGCUAGCAAAUCCCAUAAACCGUGGCUCAGUUCAGAUCGUAGGCUGCAACUCGCCUACGUGAAGGAGGAAUCGCUAGUAAUCGCAGGUCAGCAUACUGCGGUGAAUACGUUCCCGGGCCUUGUACACACCGCCCGUCACACCAUGGAAGUUGGCCAUGCCCGAAGUCGUUACUCCAACCCUUGUGGAGGAGGACGCCGAAGGUGGGGCUGAUGACUGGGGUGAAGUCGUAACAAGGUAGCCGUACCGGAAGGUGCGGCUGAAUCACCUCCUAACAGGGAGACAAAACUGAUCAUGAUGUCUGAGGUUAUCAAGAGAGAUCUUGAUAACACCAAUAAUCUUAGGCCAUGAUCCUGUCAUCUCGAAGGUCGAUCGGUACCUCAGGGAAGCCAAAAGCAAAACCGAAAGGUUGAGGUGUAUGGUUUCCAUCAGUUUCUAAACUUCUGUCUAGGUCACCCCAUAGAGCCCAUCUGGGCCUUUAGCUCAGGUGGUUAG